UGAGGAAUAUUGGGCAAUGCCCGCAAGGGUGACCCAGCAACGCCGCGUGGAGGAUGAAUGUUGUAAGAUUGUAAACUCCUGUUAGAGGGGAAGAAUAGUACCGGUUGGACCGGUAUAUGACUGUACCCUCAGAGAAAGCCCCGGCUAACUACGUGCCAGCAGCCGCGGUAAUACGUAGGGGGCAAGCGUUGUCCGGAUUUACUGGGUGUAAAGGGCGCGCAGGCGGGAUAAAAAGUCAGUGGUGAAAUCCUACAGCUUAACUGUAGAGCUGCCUUUGAUACUUUUAUUCUUGAGUUCGGGAGAGAGAGACGGAAUUCCAGGUGUAGUGGUGAAAUACGUAGAUAUCUGGAAGAACACCAGUUGCGAAGGCGGUCUCUUGGUCCGACACUGACGCUGAGGCGCGAAAGCGUGGGGAGCAAACA
rnacentral:rRNA from 1 species